rnacentral:rRNA from 1 species
CGGGGGGAGCAAGCGUUGUUCGGAUUUACUGGGCGUAAAGGGCGCGUAGGCGGCCACCGCAAGUCGACUGCGAAAUCUCCGGGCUUAACCCGGAAAGGUCAGCCGAUACUGCGGGGCUAGAGUGCAGAAGGGGCAACUGGAAUUCUCGGUGUAGCGGUGAAAUGCGUAGAUAUCGAGAGGAACACCUGCGGCGAAGGCGGGUUGCUGGGCUGACACUGACGCUGAUGCGCGAAAGCUAGGGGAGCGAACGGGAUUAGAUACCCCGGUAGUCCUAGCCUUAAACGAUGAAUGCUUGGUGUCUGGGGUUUUAUAGUCCCCGGGUGCCGUCGCUAACGCUUUAAGCAUUCCGCCUGGGGAGUACGGUCGCAAGACUG